AUGACCCCACCACACAAUGGCUGGAAGCAGGACAGCAUGUGGAAACCAUUACAGGACAUUGAGAUAGCCGCAAGAGCAGAACUCAAGACACAAAAGAGGACUUCUUCCCAAACUGCUUCUGAAAGUGACAAGCACAACGGGAUAAAUGUACUGAAAGCAAAGGAAAGUAUCUUAAGGGGUAUUAAUGAUAACGUCAUUUACUGUGAAAUUUUAAAUAUUGAGCACAGUUUCUGAUCACACCACAUAGUUCGUCUUGGCAUUUACCCUACUCAGUGUUCUCUAAACUGGUUGGAUUUGAGUUUGGUGUCUAAUAUCGUUUUGGGAAAUUCUUGAUUAUUAUUGUCUCACAUACCCACCCCCACCUUUACUGUCUUGGCGUUCCACUGGAGGUAUGUGUCACAUUUUGUGUUACCCCACAGAUCUUGAACAUUGUAUCCCAUUUUGGCUUUUAGUUUUUUCUCUGCUUUUUGGUUCUCUAAAUUUCUCUUGACAUAUCCUCAAACCCAGGAAGUCUUUCCUCAGCCAUCUGCAGUUUACUAGUGGGCCCAUUGUUAUAGUGUUUCAUAUUUCUUGCAUGUUUUUAUUAGAAUUAUGCUUACAUUGUCCAUCUCUAUGCUUACACUGUCCAUUUACUUUUGCAUGUUGUCUGUUUCCCAUUAUAGCCCUUGGUAUAUUAAUCAUGGCUAUUUGAAAUUCCCAUUCUUAUAUCCUUGCUUCAAAUUCUGGAUCUGAGAGCAUUCUCUCUCUCCCUCUCUCCCUCUCUCUCUCUCUCUCUCUCUCUCCCUCUCUCUCUCCCCAAAAUGCAGGGACUUGUUUUUGUCUUUUUGUCUUUUAGAAUAUCUUUUGAUUUUGUUCUUGCAAGAUGGACCCUGGGUGGAAAGAGCUCCAGUCCAUGGGCCGUUUAUGCCAUGGAGAUAAAAUAACAGGAGUAUUCUCUUGUUCAUGGAUGAGGUCUCCUCUCAUACUGAGUCUGUGCUCUGGGCUGUAAUUUUCACAAGUGCCUCUCAGUUUUUUCCUGCCUUAGAUGGGACAGGGUGGCUGGAGGGCACUGGUGUUGGGUAUUUCCUUUCUCCUAGGUUGAUUAGUCUCUCAGAAACUCUACUAGGCUGGAGGAAAAUAAUUUUAUCUUGAGACCUUGUGAAGAGCUACAGGCUUUGUUCGGAUUUAUACCAAAAUGGCUGUUUUCCCUCACCCUGCCCAAAGUCAGGGCACAUGUUCCUCUGAUCUUCACUGUGAGCAGGUGGUAUAGACCCAGGACAUGAAUUCACAAGAGUGUGGGUCCCCUUCCCCUUGAACAUUUCACUCCGCAUCGAUGUCCAGUGAUUCAUCCCUGACGUUUCUGGCUUUCUGAUCCUGGUCCUGGCUCGUGUGGUUUCUGCUCUGCUAAGUUGCGAUUCUCCUGUUUGCCUUAUCUCACGUCGCUUCCCUGUCUCUCCAGUUUGCGGGGCGGUAGUGGCCUUGCUUUUCUGACAGAUCUAACAAGAGUUGUUGAUUUUUCAGUUUGUUUGGACCUUUAGUUGCUUCAGGACAGAAUACUCACUUCAAGCUCCUUCCGUGUCAUAGGAACCAGGCAUCGCCUUUUCUAACAUAUCUGUGAGUGCGUUUCUACUCGUGUUUCUUAUAAACAGCACAUAUUGGGUGUUGCUUUCUAUCUGACAAUCUCAAGAAACUGUAAUAUAUAGGCAUGUGGCCAAUUGAAAGGAAUUAGUUCCUCGGUGCUGAAUUGCACAACAAUUCAAUUUGCCCUAACUUUUCCUCCUCAGUUCACCCAAGUUCUAUCACAAAUUCCAGAAACAUCAGCACAGAUUCUUUU
ensembl:lincRNA